GACGUCGUGUCCGAGUGGUUAAGGAGAGUGACUAGAAUCAUCACGUGAUAUCCCAUCAUCGUGUAAAAUUUAUAUAUCACUUGGGUUCGCCCGCGCAUGUUCGAAUCAUGCCGACGUCG
rnacentral:tRNA from 1 species